rnacentral:rRNA from 1 species
UGGGGAAUAUUGGACAAUGGGGGGAACCCUGAUCCAGCCAUGCCGCGUGUGUGAAGAAGGCCUUAUGGUUGUAAAGCACUUUAAGCGAGGAGGAGGGUACUGGUAUUAAUACUACCAGGUACUGGACGUUACUCGCAGAAUAAGCACCGGCUGACUCUGUGCCAGCAGCCGCGGUAAUACAGAGGGUGCGAGCGUUAAUCGGAUUUACUGGGCGUAAAGCGUGCGUAGGCGGCUAAUUGAGUCGGAUGUGAAAUCCCCGAGCUUAACUUGGGAAUUGCAUUCGAUACUGGUUAGCUAGAGUGUGGGAGAGGAUGGUAGAAUUCCAGGUGUAGCGGUGAAAUGCGUAGAGAUCUGGAGGAAUACCGAUGGCGAAGGCAGCCAUCUGGCCUAACACUGACGCUGAGGUACGAAAGCAUGGGGAGCAAACAGG